rnacentral:tRNA from 1 species
CAUUUUGUAACUAAUAUUUAAAGUAUAGGCCCUUAGCCUACAAUAGUAAGUUAAAAGUCUUACUCAAAAUGU